rnacentral:tRNA from 1 species
UCUAAUAUGACAGAAUUAAUGUAAUAAAUUUAAAAUUUAUUUAUAAAGUAAAUUAUAUACUUUUUUUAGAA